UGGGGAAUAUUGGACAAUGGGGGCAACCCUGAUCCAGCAAUACCGCGUGUGUGAAGAAGGCCUUCGGGUUGUAAAGCACUUUAGGUUGGGAAGAAGGCGUGUAGUUUAAGAGAUGAUACGUUUGACGGUACCAACAGAAUAAGCACCGGCUAACUCUGUGCCAGCAGCCGCGGUAAUACAGAGGGUGCAAGCGUUAAUCGGAAUUACUGGGCGUAAAGGGCGCGUAGGUUGCUGCGUAAGUGAAAUGUGAAAUCCCCGGGCUUAACCUGGGAACUGCAUUUUAGACUGCGUAGCUGGAGUGCGAUAGAGGGUAGUGGAAUUUCCGGUGUAGCGGUGAAAUGCGUAGAUAUCGGAAGGAACACCAGUGGCGAAGGCGGCUACCUGGAUCGACACUGACACUGAGGCGCGAGAGCGUGGGGAGCAAACAG
rnacentral:rRNA from 1 species